UUAACUCAAAUUUGUAUGCAGUUGGAACAGCGCCCCUAGCGGCAAACGUAGGCAAACGAUCCAACUCCAUACGAAGUUAAGUUA
rnacentral:pre_miRNA from 1 species